rnacentral:tRNA from 1 species
GAUCCACUAGCUCAGCCGGUAGAGCAUCUGACUUUUAAUCAGGGGGCCUGGGGUUCGAAUCCCCAGUGGAUCACCA